CUGAUCCAGCCAUGCCGCGUGCAGGAAGACUGCCCUAUGGGUUGUAAACUGCUUUUUUACGGGAAGAAACACCCCCACGUGUGGGGGCUUGACGGUACCGUACGAAUAAGGACCGGCUAACUCCGUGCCAGCAGCCGCGGUAAUACGGAGGGUCCGAGCGUUAUCCGGAAUCAUUGGGUUUAAAGGGUCCGUAGGCGGGCGUUUAAGUCAGUGGUGAAAUCUCGCGGCUCAACCGUGAAAUUGCCAUUGAUACUGGUCGCCUUGAAUUAGUGUGAAGUGGCUAGAAUAAGUAGUGUAGCGGUGUAAUGCUUAGAUAUUACAUAGAAUACCGAUUGCGAAGGCAGGUCACUAACACUAUAUUGACGCUGAUGGACGAAAGCGUGGGGAGCGAACAGGAUUAGAUACCCUGGUAGUCCACGCCGUAAACGAUGGAUACUAGCUGUCCGGCCUACAUUGGUAGGCUGGGUGGCCAAGCGAAAGUGAUAAGUAUCCCACCUG
rnacentral:rRNA from 1 species